rnacentral:rRNA from 1 species
UGGGGAAUAUUGGGCAAUGGGCGCAAGCCUGACCCAGCCACGCCGCGUGAGUGAUGAAGGCCUUCGGGUCGUAAAGCUCUGUGGGGAAGGACGAAAAAACAUUGGCUAAUAUCCAAUGGCUUGACGGUACUUCCUUAGCAAGCACCGGCUAACUCUGUGCCAGCAGCCGCGGUAAUACAGAGGGUGCAAACGUUGCUCGGAAUCAUUGGGCGUAAAGCGCACGUAGGCGGCCUGAUAAGUCGGUAGUGAAAGCCCUCGGCUUAACCGAGGAAGUGCUAUCGAAACUGCCAGGCUUGAGUACCGGAGAGGAUCGCGGAAUUCCCGGUGUAGAGGUGAAAUUCGUAGAUAUCGGGAGGAACACCAGUGGCGAAGGCGGCGAUCUGGACGGAUACUGACGCUGAGGUGCGAAAGCGUGGGGAGCAAACAGGAUUAGAUACCCGAGUAGUCCCUGAGCGGGCUGGCAAGGCGCAU